CCUACGGGUGGCAGCAGUAGGGAAUAUUGCUCAAUGGGGGAAACCCUGAAGCAGCAACGCCGCGUGGAGGAUGAAGGUUUUAGGAUUGUAAACUCCUUUUGUUAGAGAAGAUUAUGACGGUAUCUAACGAAUAAGCACCGGCUAACUCCGUGCCAGCAGCCGCGGUAAUAAGGAGGGUGCAAGCGUUAUUCGGAAUCACUGGGCGUAAAGAGUGCGUAGGUGGGGUAAUAAGUCAGAUGUGAAAUCCUGGAGUUUAACUACCGAACUGCAUUUGAAACUGUUACUCUGGAGUGUGAGAGAGGUAGGUGGAAUUCUUGGUGUAGGGGUGAAAGCCGUAGAGAUCAAGAGGAAUACUGAUUGCGAAGGCAGCAUGCUGGCACCUUACUGACGCUGAUGCACGAAAGCGUGGGGAGCGAACAGGAUUAGAUACCCUUGUAGUC
rnacentral:rRNA from 1 species